rnacentral:rRNA from 1 species
UGGGGAAUAUUGCACAAUGGGGGGAACCCUGAUGCAGCCAUGCCGCGUGAAUGAAGAAGGCCUUCGGGUUGUAAAGUUCUUUCGGUGACGAGGAAGGUUGGUAGGUUAAUAGCCUAUCAAAUUGACGUUAAUCACAGAAGAAGCACCGGCUAACUCCGUGCCAGCAGCCGCGGUAAUACGGGGGGUGCGAGCGUUAAUCGGAAUAACUGGGCGUAAAGGGCACGCAGGCGGUGACUUAAGUGAGAUGUGAAAGCCCCGAGCUUAACUUGGGAAUUGCAUUUCAUACUGGGUCGCUAGAGUACUUUAGGGAGGGGUAGAAUUCCACGUGUAGCGGUGAAAUGCGUAGAGAUGUGGAGGAAUACCGAAGGCGAAGGCAGCCCCUUGGGAAUGUACUGACGCUCAUGUGCGAAAGCGUGGGGAGCAAACAGGAUUANAUACCCUGGUAGUCCACGCUGUAAACGAUGUCAAUUUGGGGAUUGGGCUUUGAGCUUGGUGCCCGUAGCUAACGUGAUAAAUCGACCGCCUGGGGGAGUACGGCCGCAAGGUUG